AACCACAAAGAUCGAGUUAUAUUUUAAGGUAUAAAGACAGUUAGGCUAAUAGAUAGUGUGUUAAUUUAUAAAUAAUAUAGAAGUAAAAUUCAAAUAUAAAUUUAAAAACUUAUAUUAACUCAACAGGCUGAAUCUGUGAAAUCUUUGACAGAAACUGGGAUUAGAUACCCCAUUAUUCUUGGGGGUAAAAAAUAUAUUUACCAGAGUACUACGAAUAUAAACCAAAAUUUUAAAACUCAAAGAGCUUGGCGGCAUCUUAGACCUUUCAGGGGAACUUGUCUUUUAAGUCGAUAGUCCACGUUAAACCUUAUCUUCUUAGUAAACAAUUUGUAUACCGUCGUCGUAAGGUAACUUUUAAAAAAUUAUUAGUUAGCAAAAGAAUUUAAUCAAUUUAAACGUCAGAUCAAGGUGCAGUUAAUAAGGAGGUUGAGAUGAGUUACAAUUAUAUUUAAUAAUAAAACGGAAAAAUUAAUUGAAAUAUUAUUUUAAAGGAGGACUUGAAAGUAAAAAUAUUUAUAUAUAUAAAUUGAAUAAGGCUCUUAGAUGUGC
rnacentral:rRNA from 1 species